rnacentral:rRNA from 1 species
UUAUCUUAGCAGUGGAUCACUCGGCUCGUGCGUCGAUGAAGAACACAGCUAGCUGCGAGAACUAAUGUGAUUUGCAGGACACAAAUAAUUAAUAAAAGCAAAAAAUUCAAAUCAUGCAUUUGUAUCA